UGGAGUUUCUUUUGACAUAGAUAAAAAAAAAAGACGCUGUGUAGAAAAAAAAAUAAAAAAUCAAUCUACGUAACGAAUUGGAGAAAAGUAAAGCUAGAGAGAACAUUUGGCAUAGUAAGUGGAAGCGUUUUAGUGAGCAGUUUCUCUCGACAUGGUUAAAAGAAAAGACUUGCCGUGUUGAAAAAAGAAAAAAAAUCAAUCUACGUAACGAAUUGGAGAAAAGUAAAGCUAGAGAGAACAUUUGACAUUGUAAGUGGAAGCGUUUUAGUGAGCAGCUUCUCUCGACAUGGUUAAAAGAAAAGCCUUACUGUGUUGAAAAAAGAAAAAAAAUCAAUCUACGUAACGAAUUGGAGAAAAGUAAAGCAAGUGAAAAUAUUUGACGGAGUGAAUGGAAGCGUUUUAGUGAGCAGCUUCUCUCGACAUGGUUAAAAGAAAAGCCUUACUGUGUUGAAAAAAAAAUAAAAAAUCAAUCUACGUAACGAAUUGGAGAAAAGUAAAGCAAGUGAAAACAUUUGACGGAGUGAAUGGAACCGUUUGAGUGAUGAGUUUCUCUCGACAUGGUUAAAAAAAAAAAGACUUGCUGUGUAGAAAAGAAAAAAAAAUCAUUCUACGCAACGAACUGGAGACAAGUGAAGCUGGUGAAAACAUUUGACGGACUGAAUGCAACAGUUUGAGUGGAGUUUCUCUCGACAUAGUUAAAAAAAAAAAAGACGGUGUGUAGAAAAAAAAAUCAAUCUAUGUAAAGAAUUGGAGAAAAGUAAAGCAAGUGAAAAUAUUUGACGGAGUGAAUAGAACCGUUUGAGUGAUGUGUUUCUCUUGACAAGGGGGAUAAAAAAAAAAAAAGUCAGUCUUGUUGUGCAGAAAAAGACAAAACAAAACAAUGGACAUGCCAACAGAGCAAAAUAAUGAAAGGAGGGAAAAUGUUUCUUUCUCUCUCUCUCGACACGAAGCUAAAGGUCAGGUCAGACUUGCAAUACAGACUCCCUCAAAAUAAAAGUCUAAUGAACGUAAAAAAUUGGGAACACAGUGAAGCCAGUGAAAACAUUGGGAAGAGUGGAGUUGUUCUAUGUUCUAAAGUGGAGCGGUUGCAGCGAUCAGCCUCUCUCGACACGAUGCUAAAGGUCAGGUCAGACUUGCAAUACAGACUCCCUAAAAAAAAAAAGUCUAAUAAACGUAACAAAUUUGGAACACAGUGAAGCCAGUGAAAACAUUGGGUAGAGUGGAGUUGUUCUAAUGAUCAGCCUCUCCAAACACUAAACUAUAAAAAAAAACAGACUUGCUAUACAGAUCCCAAAAUAAACUCAAAUCUACCUAACCAAUUGGGAAAAACAGUGAAGCUAAUGAAAGUAUCUGGCGGGGUGAGUGGAAAGUUUUUAGUGAUCAGUUUCUCUCGACACAGACUUGCUAUACAGACCCCCCCCCUAAAAAAAGUCUUACGAAAGUACCUUAUUCGGAAAACAGUGAAGCUAAUGAAAGUAUUUGGUGGGGUGAGUGGAAAGUUUUUAGUGAUCAGUUUCUCUCGACACAAAAACUUGCUAUACAGACUCCCAAAAAAGUCUAACGAACGUAACUUAUUCGGAAAACAGUGUAGCUAGUGGAAGUAUUUGGUGGAGCGAGUGAAGAGGUUUUAGUGAGCGGCUUCUCUCAACACAAAACGAAAAAUCAGACUUUUUUUUUUUUACAACAAAGGAGACAGCUCAAGGGCACAAAAAAAGGAAACAAUAAUAAAGAAAAAAAGGCCGCUACUCGCUGCUCCUAAAAAAAAAAAAAAAAGACUCAACAGAGGUGGCCAAAAGAGAGGUCAAUUUCGGGAGGAGAGGUGCAGAAAGAACAAA